rnacentral:lncRNA from 1 species
GAAGUAGCGAGAACCUGCUUUGGUCACCUAAAUUGACUAAUGCAGGCUGUUGUUAGCUGUCACCUGAAAUUCAGACCCAUUGCAGACAGAUUCAUUUAGCUAGGUAACAUAUAAAACAAAAGGCAUUAAUAAUUACUUUGUUCUUAAAUAGAAUCAAGAAUCGAGAUUUGAAUAACUUUUAGUAUAUUAUAUAUACUGAAACUAACAAACUUUGGGGUUUUUUGGUCUUUUUAAGGCUGCACCCACGGUAUAUGGAAGUUCCCAGGCUAGGGAGUUGAAUCGGAGCUGUAGCCUCCAGCCUACGCCACAGCCACAGCAAGACCAGAUCUGAGCCACGUUUGCAACCUACACCACAGCUUGGCAAUGCUGGAUCCUUAACCCACUGAGAGAGGCCAGGGAUUGAACCUGACUCCUCAUGGAUGCUAGUUGGGUUUGUUACCUCUAGGCCACAACAGGAACUCUGAAACUAACAAACAUUUAAAUGUCUUUAAUGUAUGUCUUCAGGUAAGAAUAUGUCUCUACUUGUUUUCUGUCUUGAAUAGCUUUGUAAAAGUUCCAGUGGGAAUACGAGGAUUACGGUGGGAUUGAGUGUGUGAGAUCUGCAGGAUAGGCUGUGGUUUAUUCACAGUUGAGAAGCCUCUUAGGUACUAUCAUCCACAUUCAUGACAGUGACCAGCAUGCCAAGUAUAAGAAGUCUACCUGGAAAAGACACAUUCUUUAGAGACAGCUGAUUAACACAUGCUCUUGAUGUUGGCAUAUCAUAAAGGAAACCAAAUUAUAGUAAUAGGACCUGUUUGGUGAGUUUAGAAUGGAAACAGGGAGUGUUAGUUAUGUGACUUAAGUGCUUAAAUGCCAUCAGCACAAAACAGAUUGAUACCGUCAUUUUAACAGGAAGGAAAGAAAUGGUUUUUUUAACAUUUCAAAAAAAAUUUUUAGUGUUUAAAAAUUUUUUUAUCGAAGUAUAGUUGACUUACAAUGUAAGCUAGCCUUUGGAUCAGUGCACCCUCUUCAGCUGAGCAUCAUUUAGAUGAACAAUGUCAACUAACAUAUGCUUCAGACUCUUCUUAUAUGCUCUUUUGACAGUCCAUCCCUUAUGCCUCUGAUCAACAAUUCUUUCUUUUAUAGAGGCAAUAAGGUUACAGUCAAGUCCAGCUGGAGUGCAAAUUGCCGUGACUUUCUGGCUGCAGAUCUCUGCCAUCAUCCAUCAUGGGUUGAUAUGGAAAUUGAUCAGUUUAGUCAUCUGUUAGCAAAGAUAUAUUCAACUGUAUUAUUAUAGAAGAGAUCCACUACAAUGGUAAAAAUAGGUUUUGAAAUGAGACUACAGGGCAAGGAAAGUGUGUGUGACUUAGGUUUUGUUCUUUCACAUACAUGGCUUUUUGGAAUUUAACACUUUAUUUGAACCUUAUACUGAAAUUUCAGAGUCUGUAGUUUAGGAUAGGUCUACAGUUGGGGUUAGAGAACUUUCCUUUUUUUCCUCAAAGGCAUGUAUAAGGGCUUUAUUAAUUUAUGUCAAUUUUAAUCUUGAACAUUCUCGUUUUAGAGAAAAAGUCUAACUUUUCUACCUCAGUGCUGACAUUCAAGUUUAACCUAUAAAAGACAAUAUUAUUUUCAGGUUGUGAUUAUGUAUCAGUAUAUAAAUUAUACCGUAUUGUAUAUUUAAUAUGUAUAAAAGAGAACAAUUUAUAGUAGAUGGUUCAUACUAAAUAUUUAUAAAGUAAUUAAACUUAAGUAUUCUGGAAUGAUAAUUAUUUAUUUCUAAAUAUAGUUUCAGGUACUUUUGAUAGUUCUUCAAAUACUUCAGGUUCUAUAUAUCCCUUCCCCAAAUAUGUUGAGAUUGGAACACUAGAAAUUCAUACAUAUAUGUGUAUCUUAAAUUGCAAUAAUUGAGUGAUUGUGUCCUUAGGAUUUCUUUGGUGGUAUUUGUUAUGUAAAUUUAUUUCUUUUUUGCUUUUUUUUAAGGGCCAUACCCAUGGCAUAUGGAAGUUCCCAGGCUAGGGGUUGAAUUGGAGCUGUAGCUACUGGCCUAUGCCACAGCCACAGCAAUGCCAGAUCCAAGCCUUGUCUGUGACCUACACCACAGCUCAGGACAACACCAGAUUCUUAACCCACUGAGCCAGGCUAGGGAUUGAACGCACAUCCUCAUGAAUACUAGUUGUGUUUGUUUCUGCUUAGCCACAAGGAGAACUCCUGUUAUAUGAAUUUAUAAACUUUCAGUUAGUGAAUAUACUUUUAUAAAAUCCCAUCUCAUUACUUGAGAUACAGCUCUGAUGUGUUUGAAAUAUAUCUUCAGUGAAAGUACACUUGUGAUCUGGUCAUGUCACCAACCUCUAUAUUUUAGCUAGUGUAUGCCUGUGUUGUAUAAACUUGUGAUAUGUUUCUUUAAUACAUGUUCUAGGAAUCAUGUUUUAGAGUAGAAAGUACUGAUUUAGCAUCCUACCUUCCUAUACCAAGAGUGUCACAAGUAAGGAUUGUAUUCUUUAUUAAAGAUGAGCAACAAUUUUUAACUGAAAAAAUUUUAAUUGUAAAAAUUAUUAACUAGUUAUAAUAACUGUGAGCCUAUAUUCAUGUGAAGUAGUGAACACAAUAUUGCAUAGUGGCUCAUUUAAGGUCUCAUUAUAUUAUAAAAUGUACAUGGUAUGCAUAAAUAUAGCUCUACUAAGAUGUACAUCUGAACUGUCUAAAACAUACGUGAGUAUAAUAAACAGUUAUUUUAGUAAGUAUUUUUGCUUAGCAGUUUAGAAGUCUGGAGGAUAGAAGGUUAUAAACUUUAUGGUUAGCAUCUCUUAAAAACUAUCAAUGAAAAUUUGCAUUCCUGCCUUCUUUUACCUCAAUAAAUUUCCUUAUAACCAAUAGAGGCAAUAAUAAUUCUCUGUAACUUAUAGUUAUCCAUUGGAUUUUGAAGUUGCUAAACAGGGCUAGUAGGUAGAUUUUAUGUGGAAUGCAAAAGGAUUCUUUCUUUAUGAACGUAAAUCUUACUACCAGAUAGCAGCAUUCACCUAGAGAAUGUUUUGAUAAUUCUGUAGAAGAAAUUAAUAUGGAUCCAGUCACUUCUUAGUGACUCCCUUUCCACAGUGAUUUAAAUAUGUUUGGCCUUUUUUUAAAAAUGGCAAACUCUUUUAAAAAUGAAUCUGCUGCCUUGCAUUAUUAAAGCUGCUAACCAUUUAAAUUGUAUUGUAAUUUUAUAGAACUAUUCUUGUGCUUCUCUUGAGUUUUACAGAACUAAGCAGCAGAAUUUGUCAACUUGGGGACCUAAAAGAUAUAUUAAGUCUUGAAUGAGAGGUUCAUAAAAUUGUUCAGUUUUAAUUUCCAAAUGCCUUUUUUGUAGUAUGCUUAAUAUAGCUCUAGUCCAUCUAUUUGUGUGUAUAAGUGCUGCAGGUACUCAUUAAGGUAAAAUUGUUUUAAGCUGGAUGGGCCAACUGUCUGUGAAAGACUGGAUAGUAAAUAUUUUAGGCCUUGCAGGCCUUAUGGUCCUUCAUAACUACUCAGCCCUGCUUCUGUAGAGUGAAAACAGCUGUAGACAAAACAUAAAUGAAUAAGUGUGCCAAAUGAUCCAAUAAAACUUUAUUUAUAGAAACAGCCCAUGAGCCGAAUUUGGCCCAUGGACAGUAUUUUAUCACCUCUUGCUCUAAAUCAUUGAUUCUGUGUUCUCUCUAAAAUCAGGUCGUUUUAUGUCUGGAAGUGAAAAGUCGGUUUCUCCUUUUGGCUUUAGUAUCAAUAGUAGUACUUUAACUCUGAAUACUAAUAGCAUAGAUAAAGAAGAAUCUCAAGGUAUUCUAGGAGGAAAUGGGAUAACUGGAUUUGGAGAGAUUGUAAGCAGAUCUACGCAUGUGUGCUCUAAACCUGGGUACCCCACAGUCUCUGGCUUAUCUGAACUCUGCUGGAGAGAAAGUCAGGAAACUGUUAACUUGUGCUUGCUCACAUCAGUGCUACCUGUCAAUCCCUUUAUUUAUUUCUGUUUGACUCCUUGUUACAUUCCUCACAGCAUCUCUUCCAAGGUCAUUCUUGUCCCCUCAUAUCUUGGUCUCACAUCUCUUAUUUAGCAAAGAUGCAUGAUAUCAUUCAGCAUCAAUCUCUUAUGUUCUACAUUAGUUCCUUUUUUGAGGUAGGAAUGAAGAAUAAUAAUUCCCUCUACUAUUACAUUACUUUUAAAUUCUCAAUUGAAUGUGCAGACUGUGUAAGUUAUUGUAAAAUAUUUGCCUGAAUAAGUAUAAUAGGCCAUGGAUUCCUCUUCUAUGACUUGAAAUUCCUCCAGAAUACAUCGACCUUUACACAGAUGUUUUCUAUAUAUGUAUAAUUAUGAGAAUGUUAAUUCAAAAAUGAGUUAAGUCUGUCUUAAAGUUACAGUCUUUAAAAUAGGAAGCAAUAGAUAUGGCUCCUCUAAGGAACAGUCCAGACAGGUUAUUGUGGUGCUCUUGACAAGUAUUUUUUUGUCUUACUCUUGUAUUUUAUUUUAUUUUAUUUUAUUGGAGUAUAGUUGAUUUCCAGUGUUGUAUUAGUUACUCUUAUUUUUAACUAUAAGAACUUAUUCAACAGGGAGUUCAUCUCAAACUGCAUCAAGAGAAUCUUACUCUCCCGGAAUGGGGGUAGUUGCUUCGACCGUGUUAGAUGGCUAUCCCAGUAACCCCAGGGGUUGGGUGGAAAUCUUAGAAAAUGGAGGGAUUUGGACUGGGGUAGUUAUGUCAAAAAGUAUAUAGGAGAAAAUUGACAGAAUACUGUAAACCAGCUAUAAUGGAAGAAAAUAAAAAUCA